UAGCUAGUUGGUGAGGUAAAGGCUUACCAAGGCGACGAUCUGUAGCGGGUCUGAGAGGAUGAUCCGCCACACUGGAACUGAGACACGGUCCAGACUCCUACGGGAGGCAGCAGUGGGGAAUUUUGGACAAUGGGGGCAACCCUGAUCCAGCCAUGCCGCGUGAGUGAAGAAGGCCUUCGGGUUGUAAAGCUCUUUCGGCCGGGAAGAAAUCGCAUGGGUCAAUACCCUGUGUGGAUGACGGUACCGGAAUAAGAAGCACCGGCUAACUACGUGCCAGCAGCCGCGGUAAUACGUAGGGUGCGAGCGUUAAUCGGAAUUACUGGGCGUAAAGCGUGCGCAGGCGGUUUUGUAAGACAGGCGUGAAAUCCCCGGGCUUAACCUGGGAACUGCGUUUGUGACUGCAAGGCUAGAGUACGGCAGAGGGGGGUGGAAUUCCACGUGUAGCAGUAAAAUGCGUAGAGAUGUGGAGGAACACCAAUGGCGAAGGCAGCCCCCUGGGUCGAUACUGACGCUCAUGCACGAAAGCGUGGGUAGCAAACAGGAUUAGAUACCCUGGUAGUCCACGCCCUAAACUAUGUCAACUAGGUGUUGGGUGGGUAAAACCAUUUAGUACCGUAGCUAACGCGUGAAGUUGACCGCCUGGGGAGUACGGCCGCAAGGUUAAAACUCAAAGGAAUUGACGGGGACCCGCACAAGCGGUGGAUGAUGUGGAUUAAUUCGAUGCAACGCGAAAAACCUUACCUACCCUUGACAUGCCAGGAACUUGCCAGAGAUGGCUUGGUGCCCGAAAGGGAGCCUGGACACAGGUGCUGCAUGGCUGUCGUCAGCUCGUGUCGUGAGAUGUUGGGUUAAGUCCCGCAACGAGCGCAACCCUUGUCGUUAAUUGCCAUCAUUUGGUUGGGCACUUUAACGAGACUGCCGGUGACAAACCGGAGGAAGGUGGGGAUGACGUCAAGUCCUCAUGGCCCUUAUGGGUAGGGCUUCACACGUCAUACAAUGGUCGGUACAAAGGGUUGCCAAGCCGCGAGGCGGAGCCAAUCCCAGAAAGCCGAUCGUAGUCCGGAUUGCAGGCUGCAACUCGCCUGCGUGAAGUCGGAAUCGCUAGUAAUCGUGGAUCAGCAUGUCACGGUGAAUACGUUCCCGGGUCUUGUACACACCGCCCGUCACACCAUGGGAGCGGGUUCCGCCAGAAGUAGGUAGCCUAACCGCAAGGGGGGCGCUUACCACGGCGGGGUUCGUGACUGGGGUGAAGUCGGAGCAAGGUAGCCGUAGGGGAACCUGCGGCUG
rnacentral:rRNA from 1 species